GACGUAGGGCGCGAGCGUUGUCCGGAUUUAUUGGGCGUAAAGAGCUCGUAGGCGGCUUGUCGCGUCGACCGUGAAAACUCGCAGCUCAACUGCGAGCCUGCGGUCGAUACGGGCAGGCUAGAGUUCGGUAGGGGAGACUGGAAUUCCUGGUGUAGCGGUGAAAUGCGCAGAUAUCAGGAGGAACACCGAUGGCGAAGGCAGGUCUCUGGGCAUUAACUGACGCUGAGGAGCGAAAGCAUGGGGAGCGAACAGG
rnacentral:rRNA from 1 species